rnacentral:rRNA from 1 species
GACGAACCGUGCGAACGUUAUUCGGAAUCACUGGGCUUAAAGCGCGUGUAGGCGGAUGGGUACGUCGGUCGUUGAAAGCCCCCGGCUCAACCGGGGAAUGGGCGCCGAAACGACCCGUCUGGAGGGACGUAGGGGGACCUGGAACUUCCGGUGGAGCGGUGAAAUGCGCAGAUAUCAGGAGGAACACCAAUAGCGAAGGCAGCUCGCUGGGACGGUACUGACGCUAAGGCGCGAAAGCGUGGGGAGCGAACAGG